CAUACUCCCAAGACGACUUGAAAUUGCUUUGAAGUUUGCGGCUCGAUGAUCUUUCUGUUUUUCACUUCCAUGUUUAUACAAAAAUAGUUGGUUUGUGUUGAUUUAUGAUUAAGAACAGAAAAAACAUUACUUCAACAAAAGUUUUUUACUCAUAAAAGUUAUGUAAAAUCUCCUAUGAAAUAGUUCAUCUAAAUCUAAUUACCUGCAGGAUUCCUGUUAAAAAGUAAAGCUAAAAAAACUUUAAAACUAGAUGAAGGCAAAUAAAGAAGUUAAAACACCGUUAUUCGUGAUGUCAUUCCGAGGCUUCAGUUCUCCGUGGAUGAAAGCACUUUUGAAGCAAAACAAUAAACUUUAAAGCAGAAUUUUGUCAUGCGAUUGUGGUGGCAAUAUGAGAUAACUACCGUGAAUAUUACUAUCGUAAAACAGUUUUGCAUCAAAUUAUUGUAUAAUAUUAGUUUUU